AGAAAAAUCAUAACUUCCUCAUACGAAGUCAGAUUUGGGCGUUCUUUUUACAGAUGUUCUCGGUUUAAUGUAUACUACCAAUUUGGUUUAGAUUGCUAAGGAUAAAAUUCGCUCCAUCGUAAGUUUACUAUUUAUGCUUCCUGGUGUCAUGCCGGUUUUGCCGUAAAACUUCGACGGCCCAUAACUUUUUCGUUAUAACUCGGAUUUCGGCGUUCUUUAUAUGUACGGAAACCUUGAGACAUAUUCUACAACUUGGUUAAGACUAUUUAUUAUAAAUAAUCUUUUUCCGAAAAGUUGUUUUCGACACUUAUUGCCUUUAAAUUGACUAUCCCGGAUCUGCGGGCGUUACACGCCCGUAAGACACCAAUCAUGCGGAUGGACUUCGCCACAUUCCAAGUUGCUGUAACAGCAGCAGUAACCGCUACUAUGGCACAAAUCAACACAAAGAACACCAAUAGAGGUAGAAAUAGCAUCGACAACUCCAGCCGAGGGAACGAACAUGGAAAGCAACAAGUGAUAGCUCAUCAAGGAACUCCAAACCCCAACUCAAUGCAAACAACACCAAUAGAGGUUAAAAAACAUGAUAUUUUUCAUUGUGAAAUUUUUUUAUUGCUUUUGAGCUAAUAUUAUUUCUGAUUUCAUAAUUUUCCCCAAACAUCUAUGUAUUUCAAAUGUGUUGUGUAUAUUAGACCUCUAGUAGGCUUCAUAACUUUCUUUGACACCUACAAUAUGUAUACUUGCAUGGUUCUUUCUGAUGUGUUAUGCGAAUAAUUUUAUUUGGUUUUUAAUGAAAAUUUUCAAUUUUUCACUAUAGUUUUCUAUAUUAAAUUUGAAUAUGAACACUUAUAGGUAAUUGAUAAUGUAUUCGCACAUGCUUUGUAGUGCGAAAUUAAAUAUUUAAAACUCCAUAAAAAUAUGUACAAAGCUUAUCAUCUAGUCUUCUAGAGCAAACAAGAAGGAUCGUAGAGAGAUUUCAUUGCAUUUUGUUAAAACUAUGUUUUUUUUAUGGUUCUAUACCUAAUAUUAGGUAAAUAAUAGCCAGAUAUUCCCUAAGGUUAUAUAUAUAUUGUGAGACCACUAUAUUUUGUGAAACGGAGAGACGCGAUCUUAUACAUUCAUUUUGUAGAUGAAAAAAACAUUUUUAAAAUGCAAAAUAAUUGAAAAUUUUUGAUUUUUUUUUUAAAAUAUAAUUUUGUCACUUUUUUUUAUUAAAAAAAUAAAAAAUAAAAAAAAUUAUUGUUUUUUUUUUUUGAAAUAUUCUAUUACAAUAUUAGAAUAUUCUAGUAGAAUAUUUGAAUAUUUUACAUAUCUAAUAGAUCUACUAGAAUACAACAAUAUUUUAACAUUCUAAUAUUUNNNNNNNNNNNNNNNUCUAGAAUUUAUGGAUCCAAAUUUCGACUUACGAUGAUUUUUCUACGAAUUUUCCAACAACUAGGUCAGAAAAGUCCAAAAUCAGAAAAAUGUGUGUUUUCACAAAAAUCAAGCAAAAAAUGAUAUUUUUGACAAAAAUGGUUUUAAAAUGUUAUUUUUACCACAAACUAGUCAUCAACACAAGUUUUGAACAAAAUGGGGACUAAAGUGUUAUGCUUAAAAAAACUAGGCCUUAAUUGUAAAUUAUUGGCUUAUUGGGCCAAGAACAUUCUUUUUCCAAAAAAUGUGCUUCUAUGCUAUUUUAGUGAAAACUUGAACCAAAACCGAAGAUAAACUAACAAACGAAUUAAUUUGAUCAUUUUCUAGGUUAUUGGGCCUUAGUGGUCCAUUUAUAUGUUUGAUAGGUCAAGUAUCCUACUUAUAUGUUUAGUGGGCCUCAUUGACCCAUUAAUAUGUGCGACAGACCUUGGAUACUAUUUAUGUGCUAUUUGGGCCUGUAAAUACCUUACAUGUGAAAUGGGCCUUAGUUGUCCUUUCAUAUAUAUUUCGAACCCAUGUUAUAUAAUCUCAUUCCAAUUGGGCCUUUAAAUGAUUUACAUGUUUAGCGAUGCCUUAGUGGUUCACUUACAUAGUUCACUGGGCCUGGAAUGAGUUUAUACUUUUCUCCGUGUAAAUUUGAUUAAGGAUCUAGUGAGCUCUGUCGAUUGGCACCUAUUAAGUGUACGAACGUAGCCUGUAGUUACAACCAGAGUCUCUUGGAGAGAGAGUGUGGAUUUGCGUAUAGAUCUAUACGGGGAUGACACCCCACACCUAAGUUGUUCGCUACAGUUAGACUAACUCAGUGUAGGUUGACGAAAACCUUAUAAUCAAAACCGGCGUCCAACAACGCUAUGACAGGCAAAAUUGUUAUUAUUUAGUAUGGUUAUGACGGCUCACUUAGAGGAACUAACGUUAUGAAGUUUACAUAGACAAUUCUAUAUUCUCUUGGAUUACGCAGAAACAUAUUCGUACUGGUACUCAACCUCGGGGGUUGGUAUGACAGCUUUCUCUUUUACAGAAAACAUCGGGUUGUCUGGGAACAUUCCCUUUACAUUCUCUUUACCCUUUUAGUCAAAUAAACGAAAACAUACAUGCAUUAAUACAAGAUCUGACACAAACAUACUAAACAGUUUGCAGAAAGUAUAGGAUUUUCUGGUGGUUUCAAAGUUAUACAAAUUAUUUUCACAAACAUGCUUAUGGACUCACCAACAUUAUAUAUGUUGAAAUUUUCAAAAUUACUUGUAUUCUCAGGGACUCGUUAAGCAGAAGAAUCAACAAGAAUAGGGGAUUACUUUUGUGUACUGUCAAACAUCAUACAUUGAAUGUUUUGGUCAUAUUAUUUAAACGAUUGUACUUGGUGUAAACAAUAGUAGUUGUAUUAUAUUAUGCCUGGUAAUGAUGAUGUUAUGUUUCAUUUAUAUUUGCUGUAAUGAUAUUUCAAGAUGAAGUCACGUACAAGGCCCCGGACGUUUCCGCCGUCUGGUUCGGGGGUGUGACAGAUUGGUAUCAGAGCAUUGUUUAUAGUGAACUGGCGUAUCUAACCAUACAAGAUAUGCAACUAUAAAUACCAUGGGACUAAGCUACUCUGAACAUAAUAAUUAAAAUACAUACUUAUGUGUGCAUUUUAGAGUAAUAACACAACAAGAACAGUAAAAGUCUUUGGAGGAUUUGAACAUCGCUAUUAAACUCGGGCAGUUAUGUAGUCAUAUUGGGGGUGAAUGUAGCGUGCUCAACUACAUUCAUUCAAAAUACGACCAACAUGUGUUCGGGAGUAAUUGUAAUGGACAAUGAAUCAAAAACUUACAAUUUAAUUUUCCAAAGAGGUUAUAGAACCAAACCUAAACAAAAUUAAAUUAUUAUCGAAGUAAUUGAUAUGCUAUUUUUUUCUAGUGUUUACACCCCUUCGUGCAAUACACUAUAGACGAGUAUACAUAGCUAGGAAACCCUUAUCUCCCUAGUCAGGGAAUAGCAGGGUCGCUCGACCCAGAGGAAGGCCCAGAAUGAGACUCAGAGGAAGAACCAGAGGAGGAACACGUAGUAGAACUUGCAGAUAGACUCGUUGAGUCAAUAGUGGACCUCAAAGAGGAAGAGCCGGAUGGAAUUGACGAUGAUGACUUGGAUGUAGGGUCCAAGGUCAUAUAUCUUCAAUACAUGGCCAGAGUAUCAGAUUAUCGUAAGGUCCCUGAUGGCCCCACGCCCCAUGGGCACACGAUAAUAAGAGAAGGAGUCACCAGCAGGGGAUACGACCACACUACGGUAGGAAUCGAGGUCUCUUCAAUCUUAGUCAUAGAGGAUCAGAUGACCGAGCCCUCCCAGUCGUGGUCCAACGCACCCGAGACAUUGGCAACCAAACUCAGGACACCCAUAAGAAAAUGGACCAAAUGUGGGCUGCUGUUGAGAGAACUAAGUGACAAAUUGAGGAAGUGAUCGGGACUCCCAAACGAGGCAGUUAGUUCGGCUGGCACGACUACGAGACACCGAGCGACAAGUAGCUCAUCUUCAGGGUGCAUCCACUUUAUCAGAACCACCACCAGACACUUUCCAGCACAAUUAGGAUCAACCUUUUCUUUUUCCCCCUACUAACCGAUAUGACUCUCUUUCGUGUACUAAAACGAUACUUACCAAUGAAACAAUUAUGUGCUAUCUUUACUUCAUGUUAUUGCAUAAUUUCAAGUGUAUGCACAACCGAACCCUCGAAACCGCUAGAUACUUAAGAAUCUCGAAACCAAAACAACCCAUAUACUCUAAGGAUAGACAUAACGAUCAUGUCAAAUCUGCGAUUACCUACUACCAUAAAUACAUCAUAGGGAUGUUGAUGGAAACAAUGAAAAUCAUACGACAAGACACGAAAUUUAUAGAGUACAACCAAGAAUAAUGAUCAUUACUUACGAUCUGGCUUAUCAACAUGCAGCAGAAAAUGUCAUCCCACAAAGAUAACAAGCACGCCCUGUGACAUCCCCAUUUUCACGGCCAAAAAAUACCGAUUUUGUUUAUGUUUUAUAAAAAUCAGAGUGCCACUUUUAAUAAAAAUGUUGUGGAAUUUGUUCCCAGUAAAACAUGAUAAAUACGUUAUCAAAGCAAUUCUGAAGAAAACUAUUUUUAAUUCAUUUAAAAGAUUUGGGAUGUCAUUGUCAAUAAUGAAACAUAAGCAUAAACAGAACUUACAUUUAUUUACACUAGUGAUCUACAUCUCUUUUAAAUCUCUCAGUGUAAAGUAGCUUCGUAUUGACACCUGUCAUUCAAAUAAACUGAGUGGGUCAGGUUGGGAAACCUGGUGAGUACAUAGGGUUUUCAACCCGCAAUAAUAUAAUUAUUAUGUUUAAUCAUCAAAGAGUUAACCCAAUUACCCAUCCCUAUUAUCUUCUUUAAUCGUAAGGAUCUACCCUAAGAAUCAGCUAUUUGUCGUUCAUUCAUGCCUACAGAUUUUCCAAAGGCAUAGGUAUGAAGUCCAUCGUUAUCAAUGACACAGCUGACAAGCACAUCUGCUAGUUCUAUCACUUAGGCGCACCUGCCAUAGUUGUGACAUUCUAUAUGAGGUGCUUCUGCUGGUAUUGUCCUUUAGAAGCUACUGUCAAGGUGAUAAUGUUCUCUUUUAGGCGCAACUGCUGAUAUUAUCCUUAGAGCGUAGCUACUAGGAUGUUUAUCGUAGAUCAACAACAUCUAUAGGUUGUGGCGCAGCUGCCUGUGCUUAUCUAUAGGGUACUAGGUCCAUUGCUACCAAUGUUCACCUAUAGGGCACUAGGUCCAUACCACUAAUAUUCCUCUAUUUCAGUUUUCACCCCUCGUCCUUCAUCUACCCAUGUUUUUCCCAACAUAUUUUGUAGAUAUAAAAAUAUGUAUACAGUUUAAAACAUUUAAAACAUGUAUAAAAAUCUCUCACACAGCAUAGACAACAAAUAUUCAGACAAUAUGCACACAUAGCACGUAAUUUAUAUUAAAUACUUCAUAUCUAGUGUAAGAUGAAACUAACUAUGCACUCGCUUGGUAAGGUGGUGACUCGGUACUCGGACAGCACUUCGUUACUCUUAAAACAAUUUUCCUCGGAGAAAACCUAGUAUCAUUACCACUAGAUUUUAGUCUAAUAUUCACCGAGACUAAUUAAUAGUCUAUCUGUUAUUACUAUUAUAUUAGCGUUAAAUAACACUCAAUAUAACUCAUAAUAAUAGGCCAAAUAAUUAUUUUAAGGUCCUAAUAAUGUUACUAUAAUUAAUUAGAAACUAUAUCAAAAAUAGCGUAGGCGUAGCUUACUUACAGCGGGUUUUUCGCAAAACCCGGGCAUCGCUAGAGCAGCGUUCCCNACUCUGAACAUAAUAAUUAAAAUACAUACUUAUGUGUGCAUUUUAGAGUAAUAACACAACAAGAACAAUAAAAGUCUUUGGAGGAUUUGAACAUCGCUAUUAAACUCGGGCAGUUAUGUAGUCGUAUUGGGGGUGAAUGUAGCGUGAUCAACUACAUUCAUUCAAAAUACGACCAACAUGUGUCCGGGAGUAAUUGUGAUGGAAAAUGAAUCAAAAACUUACAAUUUAAUUUUCCAAAGAGGUUAUAGAACCAAACCUAAACAAAAUUAAAUUAAUAUCGGAGUAAUUGAUAUGCUAUUUUUUUCUAGUGUUUACACCCCUUCGUGCAAUACACUAUAGAAGAGUAUCAUUAGCUAGGAAACGCUUAUCUCCCUAGUCAGGGAAUAGCAGGGUCGCUCGACCCAGAGGAAGACCCAGAAGGAGACUCAGAGGAAGAACCAGAGGAGGAACACGUAGUAUAACUUGCAGAUAGACUCGUUGAGUCAAUAGUGGACCUCAAAGAGGAAGAGCCCGAUGGAAUUGACGAUGAUGACUUGGAUGUAGGGUCCAAGGUCAUAUAUCUUCCAUACAUGGCCAGAGUAUCAGAUUAUCGUAAGGUCCCUGAUGGCCCCACGCCCCAUGGGCACACGAUAAUAAGAGAAGGAGUCACCAGCAGGGGAUACGACCACACUACGGUAGGAAUCGAGGUCUCUUCAAUCUUAGUCAUAGAGGAUCAGAUGACCAAGCCCUCCCAGUCGUGGUCCAACGCACCCGAGACAUUGGCAACCAAACUCAGGACACCCAUAAGAAAAUGGACCAAAUGUGGGCUGCUGUUGAGAGAACUAAGUGACAAAUUGAGGAAGUGAUCGGGACUCCCAAACGAGGCAGUUAGUUCGGCUGGCACGACUACGAGACACCGAGCGACAAGUAGCUCAUCUUCAGGGUGCAUCCACUUUAUCAGAACCACCACCAGACACUUUCCAGCACAAUUAGGAUCAACCUUUUCUUUUUCCCCCUACUAACCGAUAUGACUCUCUUUCGUGUACUAAAACGAUACUUACCAAUGAAACAAUUAUGUGCUAUCUUUACUUCAUGUUAUUGCAUAAUUUCAAGUGUAUGCACAACCGAACCCUCGAAACCGCUAGAUACUUAAGAAUCUCGAAACUAAAACAACCCAUAUACUCUAAGGAUAGACAUAACGAUCAUGUCAAAUCUGCGAUUACCUACUACAAUAAAUACAUCAUAGGGAUGUUGAUGGAAACAAUGAAAAUCAUAUGACAAGACACGAAAUUUAUAGAGUACAACCAAGAAUAAUGAUCAUUACCUACGAUCUGGCUUAUAAACAUGCAGCAGAAAAUGUCAUCCCACAAAGAUAACAAGCACGCCCUGUGACAUCCCCAUUUUCACGGCCAGAAAAUACCGAUUUUGUUUAUGUUUUAUAAAAAUUAGAGUGUCACUUUUAAUAAAAAUGUUGCGGAAUUUGUUCCCAGUAAAACAUGAUAAAUACGUUAUCAAAGCAAUUCUGAAGAAAACUAUUUUUAAUUCAUUUAAAACAUUUGGGAUGUCAUCGUCAAUAAUGAAACAUAAGCAUAAACAGAACUUACAUUUAUUUACACUAGUGAUCUACAUCUCUUUUAAAUCUCUCAGUGUAAAGUAGCUUCUUAUUGACACCUGUCAUUCAAAUAAACUGAGUGGGUCAGGUUGGGAAACCUGGUGAGUACAUAGGGUUUUCAACCCGCAAUAAUAUAAUUAUUAUGUUUAAUCAUCAAAGAGUUAACCCAAUUACCCAUCCACAUUAUCUUCUUUAAUCAUAAGGAUCCACCCUAAGAAUAAGCUAUUUCUCGUUCAUUCAUGCCUACGGAUUUUCCUAAGGAAUAGGUACGAAGUCCAUCGUUGUCAAUGACACAACUGACAAGCACAUCUGCUAGUUCUAUCACUUAGGCUCACCUGCCAUAGUUGUGACAUUCUAUAUGAGGCGCUUCUGCCGGUAUUGUCCUUUAGAAGCUACUGUCAAGGUGAUAAUGUUCUCUAUUAGGCGCAACUGCUGAAAUUAUCCUUAGAGCGUAGCUACUAGGAUGUUUAUCGUAGAUCAACAACAUCUAUAGGUUGUGGCGCAGUUGCCAGUGCUUAUCUAUAGGGUACUAGGUCCAUUGCUACCAAUGUUCACCUAUAGGGCACUAGGUCCAUACCACUAAUAUUCCUCUAUUUCAGUUUUCACCCCUCGUCCUUCAUCUACCCAUGUUUUUCCCAACAUAUUUUGUAGAUAUAAAAAUAUGUAUACAGUUUAAAACAUUUAAAACAUGUAUAAAAAUCUCUCACACAGCAUAUACAGCAAAUAUUCAGACAAUAUGCACAUAUAGCACGUAAUUUAUAUUAAAUACUUCAUAUCUAGUGUAAGAUGAAACUAACUAUGCACUCGCUUGGUAAGGUGGUGACUCGGUACUCGGACAACACUUCGUUACUCUUAAAACAAUUUUCCUCGGAGAAAACCUAGUAUCAUUACCACUAGAGUUUAGUCUAAUAUUCACCGAGACUAAUUAAUAGUCUAUCUAUUAUUACUAUUAUAUUAGCGUUAAAUAACACUCAAUAUAAGUCAUAAUAAUAGGCCAAAUAAUUAUUUUAAGGUCCUAAUAAUGUUACUGUAAUUAAUUAGAAACUAUAUUAAAAAUAGCGUAGGCGUAGCUUACUUACAGCGGGUUUUUCGCAAAACCCGGGCUUCGCUAGAGCAGCGUUCCGGAGNAGAAACUAUAUCAAAAAUAGCGUAGGCGUAGCUUACUUACAGCGGGUUUUUCGCAAAACCCGGGCAUCGCUAGAGCAGCGUUCCCGAGCCGAAAGACUCUUUUCUCGGGACUCCAGGAGCCUCGGGGCUUACUUCGGGUGCUAUGGUGUUUACCUAGGCUUUUAGGGGGGUUAAGGAGCUUAGAGAGAGAGAGUGUAGAGAGAGAAAGAAAGUUUGAGAGGUGUGAAGUACUUACAGCGGGUUUUUCGCAAAACCCGGGCAUCGCUAGAGCAGCGUUCCCGAGCCGAAAGACUCUUUUCUCGGGACUCCAGGAGCCUCGGGGCUUACUUCGGGUGCUAUGGUGUUUACCUAGGCUUUUAGGGGGGUUAAGGAGCUUAGAGAGAGAGAGUGUAGAGAGAGAAAGAAAGUUUGAGAGGUGUGAAGAAAUGGCAAGACCCAUCAGCUCUAUUUAUAGGGUGAAUUACUGACGGACUCGCCGAGUAGGAGGACGUACUCGUCGAGUUGGGGCAUGUGGCAGCCUUCUGGUGGUGCCACGUGUCCAAUUCUGGUGGUGCCACGUCACCCCCUGUCGCGUCUCGCCCUUCAAAAUUAGAAAAAUCAUAACUCUCGCAUACCAGCUCCGUUUUUGACGUUCUUUCUUUCAACGCGUAGGUAAAAUCAAGAUCUACAACUUUCAUUUAGACUCUGUUGGCUAAUUCUCGACCGAUCUCAAAUUUAACAGUAGGAGGCGUUUAGACUGUUGACCGCGAAGAAUUCGUAACUCCUUCAUACGGACUCCAUUUUUGUCUAUAUUUUUACCGUUGAUUUCCUAUUAAUGAGAUCUUCAACUUUCAUUUAGGUCACGUAAGCCAAAAACCGCUCGAAGUAAAUUCAAGUUUCGGGCCGUGCACUGCUAAGCCGAAUCUUAGAAAAAUCAUAACUUCCUCAUACGAAGUCAGAUUUGGGCGUUCUCUUUACGGAUGUUAUCGGUUUAAUGUAUACUACCAAUUUGGUUUAGAUUGCUAAGGAUAAAAUUCGCUCCAUCGUAAGUUUACUAUUUAUGCUUCCUGGUGUCAUGCCGGUUUUGCCGUAAAACUUCGACGGACCAUAACUUUUUCGUUAUAACUCGGAUUUCGGCGUUCGUUAUAUGUACGGAAACCUUGAGACAUAUUCUACAACUUGGUUAAGAGUAUUUAUUAUAAAUAAUCUUUUUCCGAUAAGUCGUUUUCGACACUUAUUGCCUUUAAAUUGACUAUCCCGGAUCUGUGGGCGUUACACGCCCGUAAGACACAAAUCAUGCGGAUGGACUUCGCCACAUUCCAAGCUGCUGUAACAGCGGCAGUAACCGCUACUAUGGCACAACUCAACGCAAACAACACCAAUAGAGGUAGAAAUAGCAUCGACAACUCCAGCCGAGGGAAC
rnacentral:lncRNA from 1 species